UUUUAUACCAACUUCAAAACUCAACAGAAUUUCACCAGUGAAAGAGAAAUAUUCUACCAGUCCAAGGAGCAGAAGCUGUGUGGCUUCAACUCCGGGACUAGCAUCAGAGAAUCAUACCUGUUACUUCAUCUGGUGAUGCACGGCAGGUUAAUCCAUUUGGCUGCUCUAUGUUUUCCAACUUUUCAAUGUUUCUUCUUUUAUCCUGCAAGGUAAUCCAAAAAAGAGAUUUACAAUACACAUGCAUGGAUAGAGAAAGUUACCGAUUUGUUUACAAAAAUAUCGAUAAGAAAAUUGCAUGUGGGGGACAGUAUUCCCACAUGCUAAGAGAACUAUUAAGUCAAGCUCUUGCUAUAAAGAACAUGAGCAACUAUACUUUUACCUAAUGCCUACUACAUUACAUGGUUUCCUCUGCACAGAAUGUCCACUCUGUAACAGCUGUGUUCAUCCAAGCCUUAAACCCAAGUAGUUUAUUACCAAAGAGAUGUCAAAUUACGGAAAGUGAUUACUUGGAUGUAUCUACCACUUCAUACAGUUUCAUGCAAGCGACAAGAUCAGCAAACUCAAUGAAUCAUACCCCAUAGGAUAAAUUAAGAUAAAAAAUCCAAAUCAUAGAUAUACAGUAAAACCUCUGCCACCAAACUAGAAAAUCAAAGUCCUUGUGAAAAUUGUGACAUAAAUAGCAUGUUCAGAUAAAAAUAAUAACAAUCAGUUUACAAUCCAGAUCCCACAUUUUGACUAUUAGGUCAUGUUUGGUAUGGUGGGUAGGGUAAGUUAAGGCUAGUUCAUUAUUCCAAACAAUUUUAACUCGUUCGAUUCAAGAGAACAUUCCUAUGAACUUCUUAUUCUCUGAAAUCAAGACUUAAUUACUUAUUUUGGGAAUACUCAAAGCCCUGCUAGACACUACAAGAGCAUAAUAGAGCAAUUCAAAAGUUACCUCCCCCUUUCAGUGUAAGAGUUAUCCUCAACUCCAUCACCUUGAGAUGAUUCAACAGAUUCAGAUUCCAGCUCUGCAUCAAGAAAUGCAGCGAAGUUGUCGCUACUAGAUGAAUGCACCGGAGAAUCCAUCAAAAAACUCAUUUGGUCAUCCACGCAAUAAAAAUGCUUCAAUUCAAAUGAAAAAUAAUAAGAUACAAAAGAGAAGUGCUUGAAUUCUAGAAUUCUUCUUACUUUUCCACAUGCAAACAAGAAUGCUAUUCUUCUUACAGAGUUCAUUAAGCACUUUUACCCAAUUCUACAUCUGUGAUGGCUGAUUAAGAAACGUAUUAUAUGAAGUUAUCGUACCAAGCUAGUACCGAACGCCCAUUAAAAAAAAGCAAUGUUUUGAAGCUUCUCUUGAGGUGUGUCUCAAAAUGAAGGUGGAAUGCAUUAGGCAAAGGAUCCAGUUGGCUUAGAAAGACAGUUAUGAUGAGGACAAAGUAUCAAUUCACUAGGUGCAUGUGAUGAAUACCCAUGAGGAAAGGUAAAAGAACCUUUCCUGGUGGAUUUAAUUAACAAACUCUAUAAUCAAACUCGGUUACAGAGAAAAUUAAAGCCUAAGUAGCUUGUUUUGACUUGACAAUACACCCAAGCAAAUCCCUCAAACUAAAAUUAACUUUCCCCUAAGUGCAUCAAUAACCUCAUCCUCAACACCUAGAUGAUGCUUAAGAUAAAAGUGUAAGAACAAAAUGUUCACUGAUUAAAGAAUUCCAAACAACUUAAUAUGCCUGUAACUCAAUAAAAAACUCCUUGGGAAGAAUCACUAGCAAAGGGAUUGUACAACACCAUACACUUUUUCUCAAAGAUAGAACUAACUUGUUUAGACUCACAGAAGUUCUCGUUAAAGAACCCUAUAGCAUAUGGCUGUUGACUCACUGUAGCACCUAUUCCAACUCUUAGGUAAUCGAAGCAAUUGCAAAGAAGCUACCUUUACGUACCUCUGUGCAUAGCCAUCCACCUCCACGACGCAAUGCAGCAUCAUGUCAGCGUCAUCAGCCUCAUUGGCCCAAGUUCCCUUGACUCAACAAAACCUUCAGGGACUCCAAGCUACCUCUAAAUGUAGCUCUGUGCAGAGCCAUUCAUCUCUUAUGGUCCUUCUUGUUAACCUUCCCCACCAACUCCAGACAGUUCUUGAUUAUGUACACGUCGGUUACCCUCGCGACUCGCUGCAAAAGAUCGCCAGAUAAAGCACGUCGUGCAGAUCUGAGUGCUCGUUUUCCAGUGCCAGCCGCGAAAGGGGCCUUGCAUUCUAUAUUCACUACGCAUUUGGCAAAACUAGAGGUUUCGAGUAACACUGUUGAAGAUUGAGUUUUCCACGGGACAAGUAGUUUGAUUUUGUUUUUUUCAUACUUACUGUUUACUGUUUCCUUCAUGUUUACUGUUUCCUUCAGGUAUUGACUACAGCAGAAAACUCCUAUUUUUUCUGCAAAUUUUCCUUUUCACUUUCUUUCAUAUUCUUCCAUAUUUCAGAAAUUUAAUUAACUAACAUUUUAAAGAGUGGUAUCAGAGUUGCUGUUUUUGUAGGCUGUGAGGAGUUAAGCAAACUUGUUUUUUGAUUAAACUUCAUCAAGUUGACAGAAAAUGG
rnacentral:lncRNA from 1 species